rnacentral:rRNA from 1 species
AAAACUUGAAACUUUCUGGAAUUAAAGAGAUUUUGUCAACGCCUAAUGCCUUGCCUAAUCUUGGAAGCGCUUGAGCUGUACUAAUAGCAGCUUUACCAGCAGCAGCUUCACCAAAAGGAGCUACUACUGCGCCAGCAAUCCGUUCACUUAACGGUAUUUUCUCUAAUUCUUUCUCAAUCUUAGCUUCUUCUCGCUGCGCUCCAGCAAUCCGCUUACCAAGUUGUUUAGGGCUAGUAACCAUGCCUAAAUAUGCUUGCAUUGGCGUUAGGGCAAAGCCUUUUUCCAUUGCUGGAAACUGCUGUUUUGUAGAAAGAUAGGCAGCACGACCAAUUUCUUUUGGUCUAAAAGUUACUCCAGGUUCAGGCGUAUAUCCUGGCUCUGGGCGCACUUCUUCAGGCGAAUAAAUAGGCUCAGGAGUAGCUUUUUCUUUUACUGGAGCGUACUCUCGUUGCGGUGCGUAUUCUCUAGCCAUUGUUAUCUCCGAGCUUAACUCGGAAACUGCCAUUGAUACUAUCUGUCUUGAAUAUCCUGGAGGUGAGCGGAAUAUGUCAUGUAGCGGUGAAAUGCUUAGAUAUGACAUAGAACACCAAUUGCGAAGGCAGCUGGCUACCCGAAUAUUGACACUGAGGCACGAAAGCGUGGGGAUCAAACAGGAUUAGAUACCCUGGUAGUCCACGCCCUAAACGUUGCAUACUCGAUCUUAGCGAUAUACAGUUAGGGUCUUAGCGAAAGCGGUAAGUAUGCCACCUGGGAAGUACGUUCGCAAGAAUGAAACUCAAAGGAAUUGACGGGGGCCCGCACAAGCGGAGGAGCAUGUGGUUUAAUUCGAUGAUACGCGAGGAACCUUACCUGGGCUUGAAUGUGAGUGACCGCUGCCGAAAGGUGGCUUCCCUUCGGGGCACAAAACAAGGUGCUGCAUGGCUGUCGUCAGCUCGUGCCGUGAGGUGUUGGGUUAAGUCCCGCAACGAGCGCAACCCCUAUCUUUAGUUGCCAUCAGGUUAUGCUGGGGACUCUAAAGAGACUGCCUACGUAAGUAGUGAGGAAGGUGGGGAUGACGUCAAGUCAUCAUGGCCCUUACGUCCAGGGCUACACACGUGCUACAAUGCUCACUACAAAGGGUUGCAAUACAGCGAUGUAAAGCUAAUCCCUAAAAAGUGAGCUCAGUUCGGAUUGGAGUCUGCAACUCGACUCCAUGAAGUUGGAUUCGCUAGUAAUCGGAUAUCAGCAAUGAUCCGGUGAAUACGUUCCCGGGCCUUGUACACACCGCCCGUCAAGCCAUGGAAGUUGGGAGUGCCUGAAGUUUGUAACCGCAAGGAGCAACCUAGGGCAAUACCGAUAACUAGGGCUAAGUCGUAACAAGGUAACCGUACCGGAAGGUGU